rnacentral:rRNA from 1 species
GAUGAACGCUGGCGGCGUGCCUAAUACAUGCAAGUCGAGCGAACGGACGAGAAGCUCGCUUUUCUGAUGUUAGCGGCGGACGGGUGAGUAACACGUGGAUAACCUACCUAUAAGACUGGGAUAACUUCGGGAAACCGGAGCUAAUACCGGAUAAUAUUUUGAACGGCAUGGUUCAAAAGUGAAAGACGGUCUUGCUGUCACUUAUAGAUGGAUCCGCGCUGCAUUAGCUAGUUGGUAAGGUAACGGCUUACCAAGGCAACGAUGCAUAGCCGACCUGAGAGGGUGAUCGGCCACACUGGAACUGAGACACGGUCCAGACUCCUACGGGAGGCAGCAGUAGGGAAUCUUCCGCAAUGGGCGAAAGCCUGACGGAGCAACGCCGCGUGAGUGAUGAAGGUCUUCGGAUCGUAAAACUCUGUUAUUAGGGAAGAACAUAUGUGUAAGUAACUGUGCACAUCUUGACGGUACCUAAUCAGAAAGCCACGGCUAACUACGUG